UCUUUUCUUAUUCACCAAGUCUACACAGUAUUACUCUUGACCUCUUUACUUUUCUAGCCUACUUCACAAACUUCAUAGGUACCAUAUUUCUGGCAGUUUUCUAUUCAUAAGUUAAACAUUUCAUGAAAUUUUAUUUCUUUAACUUCACAGAGCCAUUUACAAUGAAAUAGCUCCUUGUUAUAUUCUAUUUUUCAUAAUCAAUAAUAGCUUAUGUAAAUCUGAUGUAAAUCCUAUAUUUUCAGUAAUAUUGGUUCACUUGUCUUCAUAUAUACAGUCUGUCUCUUAUUAUUUAAUUGAGCAUGCUGCAGAGAUGGGUACCAUGCCAGCUAGUCCCUUUGCUUGAUGCAAAACAAAGCGAGUUUUAGAAGUAUAAUUUAUAUUUUUCAUAACAAAAAGUUGAUAUUCCCAUUUUGUCAUGCAGGUUUCCAGUCUGGGAUGGAAGUUUCUUACCAUUCUUUAAGCAGUUCCAUCUAGAAAGCAUUUGAAGGGCAGUAUCUAGGCAGUGAAUGGGGUCUAAGUCUUAGGUUCCACUACUGCUAAUUGAGGGCUUGGGUUGAAUGGAUAAUUAACACCUACAGAUUAUUGAAAACCUCAUUAUAGUAAGUAGUUUCAACUUCUUCCUUCACUGAACCUCUUCCAGAAUUGCUAAUGAGUAGCAAAAUGGACUGAUUUUGAAUUCUAGCUCCUUUUAUUUCCCUGCCUUCUUUCUGAUAAAGGUGCUCAUAAGCAAGAAUGCAAUCAAAAGGCAUGAAACAUAAGGGAGGAAUUAAAUGAAACUGUUUUUUAAAAACCUCUAAACAGACUUCUAAUUCCAGCCAAGAUGGAGUAGUCUCAUUUCUUAGUCUUCCCUCUUACAACUAAAAAGCCCUCAACAUAGCACAGCUACUUAAUGAAGAUUCUGAAGGUUUAAAGAAAAAAAAAGGAUUGCUUAAAGAUCUCAGGACAUGAGGAAUGGUUUGGUGUUGAAUUCCCUAGUUUUUCUUUCUUCCUUUCAUAGGUGUCAGACAGUGUAGUAGAAAGCCUACAGCCUAGAUAGAACUGCCAACAAACAGAGACAAAGAAAAUAAACUCCAAAAAAAGCCCCAUCCCCUUCCCCCACAGGGAAGGAAUGGCCUAACAGAACAGAAACUUUUUAAUAAUGCCUAUCCUACUUUCACCUACCACCAAAACAAACAAACCCAAAAAACAACCUAUUUACCCCCCCCCCCCCAUGGCUUUAGUAGGGCCAAAUAGGAAUCGAAUCUUCCACCCAUUGCCCAAUAGAAACAGGUGGAUAUGCUUCCAGGAUAUACUAAAUAGCACCUCAGUCAACAAGAGCUGAUUGACAUUUAAAGAAUACUUCACCCAACAACAGCAGAAUACACAUUCUUUUCAAGUGCUCACAGAUAAUUCCCCAAGAUAAAUUAUGUUUUGAGUCAUAAGACAAAUCUCAACAUAUUUAAAAGAAUUCCCUUCCAAAAACAGGAGGAUACAAAAGAAUUCAUACCAUAUAGUUUAUGUUUCCUAAUUACAAUGUAAUCAAACUAGAAAUCAAUGCAGAAAGACAAGAGGAAAAUCUCCAAAUAAUUGGAAAUUGAAAAUAGACUUUUAAGUAAUCCAGGAACCAAAGUGGAUGUCUCAAAGGAAAUGAAAAAAAAAUGCUGAAUGAAAAUGAAAAUGUAGUGUGUCAAAAUUUGUGGAAUUCAUUUAAAGCAGUGUUGAGAAGGAAAAUUAUAGUGCCAAAUGCUUACAUUUAAAGAAAGGUGACCUUUCAAAUCUAAGUCACUAUAAACAAGAAAAGGAACAUUAAAAUAAACCCAAAUUAAGGAGAUAUGAGGACAUUAUAAAGAGCAGAAGUGAAUGGAAUUGAAAACAUGAACAUUAAAGAAAAAAUCAAAUGAAAAAUGGGAUCUCUGAAAAAAUUAACUUGAUAAACCUUAGACAUACAUAAAAAGAGAGAAAACACAAAUCACCAAUGUCAAAAAUGACAUGGGAUCUAUCAUUACACAUCCUGCACUCAUUUAAAGGAGAAUAAGAAAAUAGUAUGAAUAACUUAUGCAUAGAAAAAAAAAAAAACAAUUCCUUAAAAACUGUAAAUUACUAAAAUUUAUCCAGGAUGAAUUAAGUAAUCUGAAUACUCUAGUAACGACUAAAUAAAUUGAACUUGUAAUUAGAAGUUCCCAAACAAGUAAUCUUUGGUGCCAUAUAAUUUCACUAUAGUACAUUUGAAAAAGAACACUAGAGGUACAUAAUUUCCCAUAGAAACGGGAAGAGGAAGGAGCAGGUCCUAACUCAUUUUAGAAAGCCAGUAUUACUCUGACACCAAGCCAGAGAAGGACAGACAGCACAUAAGAGGAAAAUAACAAGAUCUCUCAAGAACAUCCACACAAAAAUCCUGAACAAAAUACUUGCAAAUCAAAUCCAGCAAUGUGUGAAAGCAAUUCUAUACCAUGACCAAGUGUCAUUUAUUUGAGGUAUCCAAACCUGGUUCAGUAAUCAAAAAUCAAUCUGUGUCUACCAUAUCAAUAGGUUAUAGAAGAAAAAAAACUAUAUGAUAAAUAUUUCAAUAGGUACAGAAAAUGCAUUUGAAAAGUACAAUACUCCUUCUUAAUAAAAAUUAUAAUUAAACAAGAGAGAAUUUUCUCAACCAUUAAAGAGAAUCUACAAAAAUCCUAUAUCUGUCAUUAUGCUUAAUGCUGAAUGACUAAAUGCUUUUUCCCUAAAAUAAGGAAUGAUGCAAGGAUGUCUGUUCUCACCUUUCUUACUCUAGCCACUUCAGUCAAACAAGAAAGAUAAAGAAAAGGCAGACAUGUUGGAAAGAAAUAAA